GACGAACGCUGGCGGCGUGCUUAACACAUGCAAGUCGAACGAAGUGGCGAACGGGUGAGUAACGCGUAAUCACCCUGCCCUUCAGAGGGGGAAAACAGUUGGAAACGACUGCUACUACCGCAUAACAAAGGAGGGGCUUUCUUCGGAGUAGAUAGUUGGAGGGGUAAAGGCCCAACAAGGCGAUGAUCAGUAGCCGGUCUGAGAGGAUGAAGGGCCACAUUGGGACGUAUACACGGCCCAGACUCCUACGGGAGGCAGCAGUGGGGAAUCUUCCGCAAUGGACGAAAGUCUGACGGAGCAACGCCGCGUGAGUGAUGACGGCCUUCGGGUUGUAAAGCUCUGUUAAUCGGGACGCGGUACCGGAAUAGAAAGCCACGGCUAACUACGUGCCAGCCGCCGCGGUAAUUC
rnacentral:rRNA from 1 species